AGCUGUUCCCCUCUGGAGGUUUUUGACCUUCACACCUUAAAAGGGCCCCGAGCUUUCGGCGGCCCUCUUUUUUUGCCCAA
rnacentral:sRNA from 1 species